UACUGCUAUGCUAGAGGGCGGGAGAGGUCUGAGGUACUACAGGGGUACGGGUGAAAUCUUAUACUCCUUGUAAGACCACCAUUGGCGAAAGCGUCAGACUGGAACGCGCCUGACGUUGAGGGACGAAAGCCAGGUGAGCGAACCGGAUUAGAUACCCGGGUAGUCCUGGCCGUAAACGAUGCAUAAUAGGCAAUGGUGCGGCUAUGAGCCGCAUCAGUACCGUAGGGAAACCGUUAAGUGUGCCGCCUGGGAAGUACGGUCGCAAGGCUCAAACUUAAAGGAAUUGGCGGGGGAACACCACAAGGGGUGAAGCCUGCGGUUCAAUUGGACUCAACGCCGGGAAACUUACCAGGGGAGACAGCAGAAUGACAGUCAGGUUGAAGACCUUACUCGAGGAGCUGAGAGGAGGUGCAUGGCCGUCGCCAGUUCGUGCUGUGAGGUAUCCUGUUAAGUCAGGCAACGAACGAGAUCCGCGCCUUUAUUUGCCAUCAAGAAGUCACGACUUCGUUGGGAACAGUAAAGGGACCGCCGUCGAUAAGACGGAGGAAGGAGCGGGCAAAGGCAGGUCAGUAUGCCC
rnacentral:rRNA from 1 species